ACAGGAUGAUUAACUUUUGCAGUGAUGGAAAGCAUUCAUUGCAGAAUGUGCCUCUAGCAGUCCUGCGAUACAACUCUGCACAUGAACCAAAGGCAAAAGUCGGUAGGAUCCACAUAUCUGCAGUAGAAAUGGUAGUACAGGACAACAGGUGAGCCACCAUGUUCAUUUGAACUUCGUCUGAAGUGCAUUAGUCUAGAAUCAUUUGCAUUUCUGCAUCAGCAUUCUCGAAACCUCUUCUUCAGAGACAAGAUAACAAUGAGAGCUACAUGAGUUUUCCUUAUACGGACUUGGUCGCAACGCCUGCAUUGUACAAAAAAGUCAAAUUAAUGUCUGAAUGUCUUCCCUUCUUAAAUGAUAGAAUCCCAUAAUUUAAUGAAAAAGUUUCCAGGCUUUGUAGGAGAGAAAAAACAAGAUUAAAUGUCAGCACAAUGGAAUAAAAUAAGAACCAGACCUGAUUAUUUGAACUUGUCACAGUAGCCCAUUGACGAGGAUGCUGUGGCCCCACUCCAGCGUGGCUGAUGAAUGCAAUUGUUGUUGAUUGUUCCCGUCGGCGAUUAGUGUGGGGGUGGCAAUUCUCUCAUGAACCACAACACAAAAGCUGAGGGUACCCAAGAGCCUGAAGAUAGAAGGGAAGAUAAUACUUGAUGACUAACUUUUUUAUUUUUGGUCAAAAAUACUUGAUGACAAACUUGAAAAGCAAAAUUGCAAGCAGCUGAAAAUGGAAGAUAGUAUUACCUAUAAAAUAGUACAGCAUCAGGAAAACUAGCGCUUUCCCGCCAUAUGCUUUUUUCAGACUCCAAGGAUCAUAUAGCUGGCAAAGAAUUAAAGUGAAUGGUAAACAUGAAAGAAGUGGCACAAAGCAGUAAGUAAGAUCGUUCCUUACUGCCAAGGGCUGCCAGAUGACACAGCCUUGGACUUGGCUGCGGUUUUGCGCAUGGUGAUUCUGCCCCCACCGAAGAUGUUAGAUGCAGCUGGACUAAGCUGCGCAGCUUGGCCAGCUAGAGAAGGAGAAAACAGAGCCAUUGUUGACGCAGCCAUUUGAGAAAAAUGUAUCUAGUCUGGUUAGACUUGGAUAAUGGGAUGUGAUGGCUGUUUGUUUUGUGAUGGUAAGAGACCUUGGUGGGCAUAUUUAUAGCUCUGGUGAUAGGGAUUAUGCAUUAUCUGUGUGAUAUCUUUAUCUCUAUUCUCAUUGGUGAAAAUGAAGUUCAAAGAUUUUCAAUAUAUCUUCAUGGAGAAAAUCUUCUACUCUGAUAUCUUUAUCUCUACUCUCAUGUGAUUCUUUCUAGUUGGCAUCAGAUGUUCCACUUGUUUAGUUCAGAAAAUCUGAAAGACAAUGAAGAGAUUAUCUCAUUGUUUUCAUUUAUUUUUAAGUUUAGAUACUUUCAUCUGUAGCCAGUAGUAUUUCCAAGUAAUGACACAUUCAUUUCCAGUUGGCUUGUGAUUUUAUAUGGUGUUGAGAGCAUCAACAUAUAUGCUUUGAUCUCAGUCCAAUAGACUUUUGGUAAGCAAUCGGCAAGUCAAUGAGACCAAAGGAUUAUAGGAUAGCAGGGAAAUAUUUACAUGUGAGAAUCUGUGAACACUGAAUCUAACAAGAAUUUAGUAUUUUAAUUAUGACACAGAAAUUGAUCUUACUGUACAAAGAAAAUCCUUGAAACUAAUUUCAUUGUUGAUAUGAAUGGUGCAGACCACAUCCACAAUAUCAUGAUUGUAAAAUCAUUACUACUGAGAUACAAAUCUGAACUGGAAAGAUUUUUAUGCAGGGAAGUAGGAUUCUGAAGUUGAAUUACUAGUAUACUGGGGUUCUAUGUAUUUUAGUCGAAACAGAACUGAACUACAAAGUGAUCGAUUCUCAAGUGCUGAGCCUGUCGAAUACAUACUCAUCCUAACCUCAUUUGGCUUCAUUGAGCGUAAACUAAAUGAUAUAACCUUAUUUUCCAGUACUAGAGCAGAAAAGUUAGCUAAAGCAUCUCAACAACAUCAUCAUUAGCUAAACAAUCUGGAAUUUGAUGUAAUAUACAAAGUGACCAAUCUAACUCAAUGUCAUCACAGUUUUACUGUUAAUCAACUAAAGGAGUUGCAGCAACUCAAAUAAUAACUUGUGAGCUACCUUAUAUGAGAUUUGCUCGUAACUAACAAAGAUCUAGAAGCAAUCCAUGGUCAUGCAGUUACUCAACUACAUGAUAAUCAUGGCAACUCAAAUAAGGACUUAAUAUUACCACAUAUAUGAGUUCCCUAGCCAACAGAGAUUCUAGCAUAACUGAGUCAUUUGUGAGAUUAUGAUUGAAUUACAAAUCAAGACAAGAAAACAAACUCAUUAGUUGACACAAGUCCGACUGAGGAACAAACAUACCUGUCGGAGUAAAUGUAACUUAUUUAUAGUGUAGAGCAGUCGCCACCCCGGAUUCAAGAGGAGUCAGGUAUCCAAUCUUUUGGCAAUGACGAUUUGAAUAUUCGGAGGAGCAAUGUCCUCUCCUUUCUCCCUAGCUUCUUUGCACCAUAUCCACGGAAUACACCAAGCUUAAGUGCCUUUUUCCCUUCUUCCACCGCUUGUUUUCUCACGGCCACCAAUAAAUCUGUCCCUUGGGGAUCAAUGCUGUUCUCUUCUUUUUCACUUUCACAUUUCUCUUUGUUUUCUGCAAUUGAACUUGCGCCAUCCGCUAGUUUGUUGGACUGAUGCUUGUUUUCUUCAUCAGCCUUAGCUGCUUCUCCACGGAUGCCCUUAUCACAAUCAAGGCUAUUGCUUCCCCACCAUCUAUUGGAUGCAGUUGAUAAACCUUCAGAUGGGAAUCCAUUUUUCAAUUCUUCCAAGGUUGUACCUUUGGUCAAGCUUAACGUGAGAAGAUUGUGAGGCCGUCCAGUCUGAACAUUUUUGCUUCCUUGCUGCUGCAAAUUAUUAGAGGCCAUGACACCUUGUGGUUUCGACUGCAUUACUGGGUGUUGGGAAUCACUGCAUUUAAAAAUGAAGGCUAAAGAAUAUGAAAGGGAACAAUGAACAAAAAAAGGUUCACCAGGAACAUUUAAUCUCAUGACCAAUCUGUUGGUCAAAAUGUCUAUCACGAUUGAGUUGGUUCAAACAAAACAAGUAGAAUGCACCAAAAGUAGUGUCACAGAGAGGAAUAUCAAAGAUGAGUAACAAUAAACAAAGAGGGUAAACACCACCAGGUAGCAGCUUUAGAUUAGUAUUUUAUGAUUCUCAGACUCUUCUUCAGACAUAGUCAGAUAUACAUAACUUAUAAGGUUUGAUGGCUAUCUGCUUCAUCAAUGAUCUAAAGACAGGAUUUUGAUGUGAUUUAUUUUCAAUAUCCAACAAUAUUUCUGACCCAUGUGUAAUUGAUUUCAGUAUAUCAUUAGAUGUGCAGCACAAUCUUCUGUUCUUUGGUUAUGUAUCCGUAACCCAAAACCAACCAACUCUAGAUAAAUCUAAGCCUAACAAGAAGUCAUCAAGUAAUAAAGGAUAUGCAGUCAGGGGGAUCAGCAAUCAUUUGAAACCCGAGUCCCAAGUGUGUGCCAAGUGAGCGUCUGAUCAACACACAAGCACGAUGCAAAAUGCUCUCCUAACCUUCAAGCAAAAGAGACUUGGGCACCAUAAUCUCUAAAAUAGCAUCUCAAGCACCCGUAAGAUCUCACCUUUGGCGAUUAUAUCAAAUACAGGACCAAGAGUAGCCGAAGCUAGAUUGCGAAAAACAUCAGAUCUUUAUGUACCAAUCUUUGGCAUCUAACUUCGUUGCUUCUAUUCUUCUCCAGACAAAUUGCAUUCUCUACGAAUAUGCUGCAAAUUUCACUCCUAAUCUAUGGACAUCCAACCCAAAAUCUUGACCAAACCUUUUCAACUUUUCUAGAGUAGAUUCAAAAUCAUUUAGCAACACACACACAAGGGAAUCUAAUACAAAAAGCACAGACCUUUUGGAAGCAUGAAUUUGAAGGUUCUUUCGGGAAUUAAAACGUAAAGACAUAAAAAAGCGAAGCACAGGAAACAGAAUAAGAGAGAAGCUCGCUUACAAUUGGGCUGUUGUUGUUGACUUGUUGUGGCUGCUGUUCUAGUGUGGCUACUGCUUAAGCUCUCAAUUUCAGACACCCAAAAGUGGAGAGCUCAGAGUCGAAGAGCGCGUCGGCUACUUGAAAGACAAAAGUCUCUCUGUUCUAUAUUGUUUAAGCAACCAACACGUGGCAGAAUCGUGUUUCUCAGGAUUCGAAUAUUCUAUUAUGUGGUAACCGGUAAGAUUGAUCGAGCGACCUAAUACCUAAUGUCUAGUGUUCGAAUUCUAACUCCUCCUGCUUUGUGGCCUUCAGAAUUGGGAACUUUGGAUUAGCAAAGCGGGGGGUACAGGCUCUAGACGACAUCAUUGCCAAUUGCUUCUAAUCUGCCAAGUUUAAAAACAAUUUUUUUUUUUUUACCCUUUUCUUCUGAAUAUAAAUUGACGAAAUUUACCGCGGAAUGUUUGAAUAAAUUUCACAAGUACUAGACUAUUCUUCUAUUUUAAGGCGCCUCUAUAGAUUGAAAAUGAAAUUUGGAGCUCAUCAUCCUGAGAUUAAAGGAGGUACAGAAUCUGGUUUAUGAGGUAUAUGUUGAACCAUAAGGUGUCUACUAUGAAGCUUACUAAGCCAAAGCUAGUCAGCUAGAGGUUCUCUGCUCCAAAUGAAUAUUCAAAAUUUUCAAUUUAAAAUCAAAAGCUAAAAUCAAUAGCAGUUCAUGAAUCAAGUGAGCUUCUAUCCUAAUGAUGUACAUGAAAAAUACAAGAAAAAGAUAUACAAGUCACUCUACUUGAUCUGCCUCAUAAAAACUAACUCCUAUGAUGCUAUAGAAUUUCACAUGAAUAAACUAGUGUGGACAUGACCUGAGAUGAUAAGAACUUCACAGUGCAUGGCAUCUUAAGUUCAUUCCCUAGCUUGAAGCCGUCGUCUUAUCCUUCCUUCCGGCAAGAAUCAUAGAAAUUUGUAGGCCUCGACUGAAUGCUUGGUUGAAGAGCAACCGUGUUUGGAACUCUGAGACAAAUGGGAACCAUGACAAAAUGGCAACAGGCGCGAAGACUACUACUCCCAUUAUAUAAUCAUAUGCUCUUCCCAGCUCCUUGAUUGAUUCCCAGAAUCCUACUCCCUUAAGCAUUGGCCUGCAUACUUGCCCGAUCUAGGAAGGACAAUAUAUAAAUGGUUUCAGUGAAUACAAUCCAUUACAAAACACUUGUGUACAAAAAGAAAAGAAGAAAAAAAAAACUACUGUUAAGAGAACCAAGAUACACCCUAUUUAUUUUAGUCUGAGGAGUACUAAACGGAUGAUAUAGUCUAAGAUGUGUACUAGUAUAAUACAUGAAAUGAGAAAUCUGAAGGCACUAAGUGCAGAUAACCAGAGACAGAAAAGAUACUUACAAGAAGAAGUGCCCACCCUGUGGGCAAGAAGGCAAGGAUAGAGGCAAACAGAUCUGAAAUAGUAAGCCCACAGACAACAAAUAGUACAGUCAUGACCGACAUGAAACCAAGGAAAAGAAGUGCUUUCAGAAUUCUGAACAUGAGCUGAAAGUCGGUGCCAAAUCUUCGUCUACCCAUUGACACCAUCUGACAGAAAUGUAACAAACAAGCAAGUAACAUCAUUCAUUUGAUACUAUAUAAACUUCCCAGGAAAAAAUGAUACUGAUAAAAGUAGAAAAGGUAUGCACAAACUGUCAUGUUAUCUAUAACGUUAUCUAUAACUCGAAUGAACCUAAACAACUUAUACUUCAAAAACAUUCAUAACUUACACGUAAAAAUUUGGCUUAAUCUCUAAACAAAGUUUAAUGCUUUAUUUGCGAUUUUCUUGUGCAUACCUUUAAGACGAGAAGCACUGUUACCAUAACCACCCAAGAAAGUCCAUAAACCUACACACAAAUUGAAAAAAGGUGGUCAGUCCUGAACGUCAAAAGCAAAAAGAGACAACAUACUGAUAUAUAUUUGAACAUAAAUAGUACCAGUAAACUCUUGCUGAAAUGAGCUAUAUCGAGGUGGUAAACAAUCCCAUAUUGGUAAAAGAAGAAGCGAAAUGCAAGCAUUAUCUCAAGAAUUCUUCCACGGAUAAUAGUGUGCUUAAGGUGUUCCUGCUCUUCAUCCCACCAUGAUUCCCAACUUUUGUCAGGUGAGAUCCCAAUACCACCACGAUUUCCCAUCCACCUCUUCCAAUCAGUCCAAUCAUCUACAGUUUUUUGCCAGUCAAAGCUGGACGGAUUAAAGAUGAAUGGAGCAAACAACCAGGAAGCAACCAGAAACCACAUGGAGAAUGUGAUGAAAAAAUACAGAUUUGAACUCCUAUAAGCAUUCCCGUAGACUCCAUAUACAAUCAGCAGAAUCAACAGCUCCAACCCUUUCACAAAGUGACUUCUUGAGUACAGCCUGUAGUUAUCGGCAAACUUUGCAUGAAAAACCACAAAACCACGGCCAGUUGCUCUAUAUUUAGAUCCACCAUGUAAGAUUGUCCUUCCGUAAUAAUGUGCUUUUGUUCCUAGUUGGAAAGUGAAGAAAACAGAAGCCAGCUGCAGCUGCAUGAUGAUGAAAUCACCCAAGGCAGUGCGAAAUCCUUUCUCCAGACCAAUUUCCAUAACCAUGGGGAGGACCAGCAACAACCCCAGUUGAAAGACAGACUGUGUAGCCAGAGCUUCUUCAAAAGCCUUGGUCUGAUGUAUGGCUGGGCUAUCCAGGAUCUCACUUUCCAAUCCACUCAUAACCAUAUAUAGACGUCCAUACAAAAACACAUAGACAGUCAGCACAGUUACCUGAAACAAAAUAGUAUCCGUAUCAAACAGAAAUACAUUACCAAAAUACUGCACCCCAAGAAUAUCUGCCUAGAAAAGUAAAACCAAAGCGAACCAAAACAAAUCCUCAUGUUUACUCUUGUUUCCUAUUCACCACUAAGUUUCAGUCAAUUCAAUUGUAUGGUAGGAUGACUUCUUUAUCAAUGAUACCACUAAUGUAAAAAAGAAAUACACUGAAGAAAGAUUGUAUUACGAAAUAAAUAAUGGAAGCACUUAGAUCAACAAGCAGUUGGCCUGAAGCUGUCAUCAACAUGUGAAAUGGGUAGCAUGCAUAAUGGUUGUACAGUUAUUUGAGAAUCCAAUCCCUUCACCUGAAUCAACACCAUCUAACCUAGUACUUUAGAGAAAGGUGAUUUAAUAUAGUUGUUGAUUAUAAACUAACAUAUUCAUUAUAACUCGUUGAUAUAAAGUAUAAACUAUGAAAGAACCAAGUCAACUAAUGAAAGGAUAAUUAGUUUGGAUUGCAUACCAUGCUACUAAAAUAGAACCCAACUGUUGUGAAGUAAAAGGACAGCAUUCUAUAGAAAUCAAACCGACGCCCAAGCCUAUAAACAUCACGGCUAAGUGUCUGCUCUCCAUUCCCAUUUGCAACUUUAGCCUCGAAAAGUGAUAUUUGAUUCAUUCCAACAUCACGCCCCUUGCCUACUUGGAUAUACUCAUGAUGUGUUAUAAAUCCCCCACGCAGAACAGAAUUGUAACCUGAAGACAUACAAACAAUUAGUCAAAAACAUUCAAUACUUACUAGACAGGGAUCUUCUCAUGAAUGAAAAAUAUACCUGAAAAUAUAUCCUCGCUUAAGUUAAUUACUUUCGAUGCUUUGCUUAUGCCACCCCUUGUUAUGUGGAAGAGUCUGUCAAAAAUAUCCGGAUGGCCAUAAUGAAACCGUACCCUGUCAUGGUAGAAUGUUAUUAGAUGGAUGGGUACUUGAACGGUAAUAGUAUAAACAGGGGGAAAAUGACAAGGAAAGAAGAUGAUGCUAGUAACUCUAGAUUGGGACUCAACUGUAGCUCAAGUUGAACGUAAAAUAUAAGGCAUACCUCAGUGGAUUUGCCAAAAUUCGUUGGCCUAUAGUGACAAAACUAGUUUCUUGAUUGGACAUGAACCAAGCAAGUGAUGAAACACUGUAGAUCAGAGGUUGAACAUAAUAAAUAGGAUUGUAACAGUGAAAAUAUGCAGAAAAUAUUAUACGAAAUCCCAAUCCUAGCAGUCAUGAAGGUCAAAUAUAUUGUGAAUAGAUAUGUGAAAAGGCUGACCUUCCAGUAAAAAUAUGUUCCCUUAGACCCAAUAUCGUAGGUUUCCGCUGCCCCCGUCGGGGCUUUCGGAAUUCCUCCAAUACAUUUCUCAUUUUGAAAGCUUCCUCAAAAUAAUUAUCCUGUAUAAAAUUUAUUAGUAAAUAUACAAAAACACAGUUAAACACUUUCUAAUUUUGCAUAAAGGUGCAAUGAUUGCUACCUGAUUCAUGUCAAUGGUUUGCAGGGCUUCUCCACGAGUAAAGACGAUGGCAUGGUUUUGAUUUUCAGGUUUUCCUUCACCAAUUACUGUUGGAGGACCUGGAAGCUUGAUGCGGUAUAUUUCCUAGCAAAGAAACAAGACUCCUCAACUGAGAUAUUGACUGUUAGCCACAUUUGCUGCUUAUAUGAGACAUUAAGCUCAACAAAGGUAGGUAAAGGCUCUUCAUUAUUCCAUUAUAAGUAUGGAUUCCUCAAGAAUUGCUACUUUAGAUGGUACUGAGAUAACAUACAAGUGCACAGAUAUAUGAUGUUAUUUCCUUCCUUACCUCAUCCCAUUUGUCCCCUCCCUUGACCAGCACAGAAAAAUAAAUCUUUUGGGAUUUUCCAUUCACUGUCUCCUCUCUUGUAUCUAUGUAAGCAACCCGUAGAGAAGGAUACCUACAAGACGGUUUCAUGUGUAAAGAUCAUAUCAAUUAUUCAUAUUACAAAGGCUACAUAGUGUUCAUAUUAUGGUGAUAACUCACGUUAACAUCAGCUUGAGAAUAUUUGUGUAACAACUUUUGUCACGACUUUCACUGGAUUUCUUCUGUUCACCGUAGAUUUGACAAGAAACUACAUAAGUGAACUUCAAAUCUGCCAGAGCUUGUGCCCGAUCAAGAAUAUCCUUCUCAUCAAUUUCACUUAAUAUCUGGGCUGGGUAGCCUCCAUAAACACCUGCAAAUAUCCGUUUUCCACAUUAUUUGCUUGUAAAGAUUUUGGAACUAAAAUCAUGAACGUCAAUCUGGAGUUGAAACACAUUUUUGUCAAAGGACCACUAACCACCAUCUCCUGCUGUUUCCAGGAUACAUUGAAGGUCUAGAGCCUUCCUAUAGUACAUCAUUCCUCUCACUAGCAGAAAAUACAGAUAAAAUGUUAAGAAUUGGACAUGGUACUUGUAUAAGAUACAAAGUUACAGAUUAUGCAGACCUGUUCUAGAAAGUGUCUGUCCCCUGUAAGAUACCCACUGGCGAAUUAACUCCGACUUGUCCUUGUCAGAGUACUCAUUCUUAUGUUCAUUUAUGCGGUCCUGGAAAUUUGUCCAUUCAUCUGUUGGUAGUCAUAGUUGGUUGACAGGUAUCAGUUCAUAUAAAUUUCAAACAACGAAAAAGAAUAAUCUAGAAAUGAGACUGAAAUGCACCAGGAUAUAUCUUCUGCAGGUAGAACAAGAUUGAGAUUCCAUCCUCAUUUUCCUUGUUAAGUUCAUCAUCAGAAUACAGAACAUCUUCUUUGUAAUAAGGAGUCAGAACACUGAAUCAUAAAUCAGGAAAAAGUGAUAUGUUACACAGGCAACUAUUAAAAUUUUAGAAGACCACUACAAUCACAUGGUUGACAAAAAUACACAUUCAUUCAUUGAAAAUAGAUCCUGAAGCAUACAUGUACUCCUCCAAAAUGAAAAGAGAAACAUAUCUUGACUACAAUUCCAUUAAGUCAGUAGGAAAGCUAUAGUGUUCCUUCACCUUUGACAUUAUUGCAGUAAUAUGUUAGUUUCUCUUUGUUUUUUAUUAUGUUGUUGUAGUUCACAAGCAACAUAACAGUUCCCACUGACAACUUUUCAAAAGAAAAAAGUUCCCAUUGACAAACCAGGAUUCCAUAAUGACUGACCUAAAGGAGAGCAUGUCACGAACUUUGGGAGCAUUUGGCAUGUUCAUGAAUAGAGAGUUCGCAAAGAAAGUAAUGCGCCUGCGAGCAUCCAAGUUUUGGGGCACAUUGAUGGCAGAUUCCUUGACGGUCAAAAGCAAAUGAAGCCUAACAACCUAUGUACAUGUAGAAGAAAAAAUAAGACCAAAAGAUUUUGGAUCUUCAGUUAUUGUCUUUGACACAAGAAUAUCUGCCAAAAUUACCUUCUCUCUCCAAGAUGGAUUUUGUGCAAGGUAUAUGUUGAUUUUUUCAAACCUUUGCUCCUUCUUGACAUUUUGACCCUCUAUGUAGUGAGCUUCUUCAAGAAUUCUGCGAAGAAAGAAGGACACCUAUUAACAUAUGGAAACCAAAGGGGAUCAAUAGGUGGUCAAAUAUAACAAUAUUUUUUACUGCCUCCAGUAUGCAUUUAUUCUCAGUCCUUACUCAUGGCCAUUCAUCAUUACAUCCUGUGUUAUAAUCUCCAUGAUAUCUUGAAGGACAUUGAUUAUCUGACGCAAGUAAUUAUCGACAUUCUCAUCUUCAGCUAGCUGUCAACAUACCAAUUUAGUAACUCAAACAUGACACUGUCUAAACAAUAUCUAUCAGUUCAUUGCUGAAAGCAGCAGUAAACAAUUAACCAAACAUUGAGGGAAGUAUAUUACCAAGAGUUUAAGAAACUUCUCCAACCUCUCACUAAGAAAUGGCAGCCCACUCAUCCGGAAAUUAAACAAAAACUUCUGCUGCUGUAUACUGCUGUCUACUUCAUAACAUAUCUGCCUUACAAUCCUGUUAAUGAGACGAAAGGAAAACAUUCAUGAAGCUUCUUCAAAGACUGCUAGGUUUCCUUUCUUGUUGAGAUAAAAAGAUUCUUAUGUGCAGAUGGUGAUCUAUAUAUUUCAAGUUGGUAUGCUUCUUCCGACUUACAUCUUAUCGGCCUCAUCUUCAAGAAGGCCAAAUAUAAUAUCCCUGAGUGUCUCGUAGCAUUCAAUCACUGCCGAGUACAUAUAAUCAUCAUUCAUAAUCUUCUUGAAUAAAUCCUCAUCCGACUUCCCCGUAAAAUCCUUUGCCAUGUCUAAUGCUAUCGGAAUCUUCACAAGUGAAAUCAAGUUAUGAGACUCACAUAUAGGCUUUGUAUCGAGUGUACAUUAAAAAUAUCAAGCCAUGAAAAGUGAGUACCUUGCUAGCAAGCAAGAAAGGGGGCCACUGGACAACAGAAACAUCACUUGAANNNNNNNNNNNNNNNNNNNNNNNNNNNNNNNNNNNNNNNNNNNNNNNNNNNNNNNNNNNNNNNNNNNNNNNNNNNNNNNNNNNNNNNNNNNNNNNNNNNNNNNNNNNNNNNNNNNNNNNNNNNNNNNNNNNNNNNNNNNNNNNNNNNNNNNNNNNNNNNNNNNNNNNNNNNNNNNNNNNNNNNNNNNNNNNNNNNNNNNNNNNNNNNNNNNNNNNNNNNNNNNNNNNNNNNNNNNNNNNNNNNNNNNNNNNNNNNNNNNNNNNNNNNNNNNNNNNNNNNNNNNNNNNNNNNNNNNNNNNNNNNNNNNNNNNNNNNNNNNNNNNNNNNNNNNNNNNNNNNNNNNNNNNNNNNNNNNNNNNNNNNNNNNNNNNNNNNNNNNNNNNNNNNNNNNNNNNNAAAGAAUUUGUAUUUGGUAUGGAAAACAUUACACAAAGCAAAUUAACUGAAUCCUAUCCACAAGAGUGCAGUGUGAAAACACUGGAGAUGGAUAGUACCACCAAGUGUUUCUUCUUUUUGGCAUCCUUAAUUUCUGAUGAUGGCAUAAGCCGAUCACUGAAAGCUGAAGGCACAGACUCAAAUCUGGACCGCAACAUCCCAAGUGUUCGUAUCUGAGAGACAACAAAUGAAUAAUCCUCAAACCCAAGCUGAGACAGAUCUAAAACACAUAUUCUUAAUUGUGAAUGAUAAUACAUGUAUAUAUACAGGAAAAUAUAUAUGUAAAUCUCAGUGAGAAUAUGCAACUGACCUCCCCCAAAUGGCUGAAGGCUCCGUGAAUCCCACCGAACAGAGUAGAAAAUAUUGCAUACCAUAUUUGUGCAUCCAUAAAGUAUACCUAUGUACCAGACAAAUCAUUGCAAAGUGGUAAAUGGGAUGAUAGUGUUCACAAACCGAGGAUUUCACUCGAGCAAAUUCUUCAUUGAUUCACUUACUAAGACAAUUGGAGCCCAUAUUGCAAUGACAACACCAAUAUUAUGAGUUGCUGCAUUAGUUCCAAAUUUGAGUUUGUAGUUAGACUUGCAGAUAAAACUAAAGUAAAACAUAGUAAAACAUAGUUCAAUAAGUUACCAUUAGGAAAGAACUCAUGCCAUUGAUAAUUAGUGAUAGACAUAUCCAUUAUCAACUUUGUUGGUGCAACAAGCGGCGAUAUCUAUUUCCAGAGUAUACAAAUUCAUGUCAGGUAAAAUAAAAUACAGUAAAAUAAACUCAGUUCAGCAUAUCCUCGAAGGAAAAACUUCUGUUACAGUAAAUGAAACUUGGUUCUAAUGAAUUAGCAGAAGUACCAUACAAGUUUGAAUGAAUUUUAGCAGUAAUAAAGCAAAACUUAAGGAAUUUGAGAGAAAUAACCUCCACAUAAUAGCUGAAUGCAAGCUUGCUGAUUAGCAGCAUGAUCCAGAACAAUGUAUAUCUGAUUAAACAAAAGGAAUAAAUCAGUCAUAUGAGAAAAAUAUGUAUUAUGAGAAAAAAAAAAAAAGUACCAUAAAUCAAAUCAAAAGUAAUGAUGAAUGACUGAGUGACUUGAAAAAUUAACGAUAAAUCAUAUAUAACUACAGAGACAAGCAGAAAAACAGCAAAGGGACCACACACAGUAUAUGCUUCUCUCAAAAGAUGAAGAAUAAAGGACGAAUGAAGAUUGUUUUUCUCUUACUUCAGCAGUGAGAAGACAUCCUCAUGCAUUCCUCUUCCGACAUACAGUUUUGGCUGCAAUAUGGCCACAAAGAAGAGUCAUAUGAGCCUAGCCAAAAUAUGAGCCUAGCCAAAACGCUAAAAAAGAGUCUAUGAAAUUACAAGAGAACAUGAACUUUGGUUAGACCAAUGAGAGAAACUUGCCUGAGCCCACCACAUAAAAAGAGUGACAAUGCGCCAGUUGGAACGCUCUAUGUGCCUCCGUAAAGGUGGAAGAAAAAAUAGCAUAGCAGCCAAUAUAUUAGGAACCAUAUAGAUUGCAACAGCAUAAUUAUAAAAUGAUUGAUUACGCCAAUCCCGAGUCCAACUACUGAAGAAUUUCAGAAGCCCUGUAGGAUUCUGCAUAGAACUUGAAUAACCAAUAGGCAGCACCACAGCCCAGACAACAGCUACUGCAAAUUUCAAAAGGUAUCGUAGUAUUUGAGUGAAUUUCAAGCUCUUCCAUGCAUUCCAACUGAGAAUUAUGUCCAAAGUGGCUGCAGAACAUAAUAGAAAAGACGACAAAGUGAAAAGACAGAAAAAUUAAGGAAAAGGAUGGCAUGCCAUUGACCAGAGUUAUGAUAUACCACAUACAUUAUAUGGAUGCCAAUGUCUCCCACCAUAAACCAGUUUUCAAACAAACUUAAAGAUUUAAGAUAACACCAGUACCUUGUAAUAAAUUCAGGAAAGCGUAUGUCAUGAAGAUGCUUAACACACUUUUGAAGACAGCCGCAUCAAAUAUUGAAGUGACAUAUCCAGAAGGACCCCAUGCAACAAUAAUCAUAGCCUGAUAAUCAGAACAUACUGUAAGGAGGAUUAUCCAAUAAAAGGAAAGACUCUCCAACCUCCCCCUAUUAACAGGAGUUGCAAAUUGGACACAAAAAGCUCCCCUAGAGAUCAAGUCUCAAGAUAUUUUAACAUCCCUCAACACAGCCAUCUCCAAGCAGACAGAAAUUUCAAAAUAGAUUUUUCUUUUUCAUUUUGAAAAUGUAAUUGCUGUUUUGACUUUUUCUUAACCAGGUUGAAGGCAAUUUACUCAAAUAAGAAAUACAUAAUUACACAUUAUUACUACCUGUAAAGCCAAUAUGAAGAAUAUCCACAUUCGAUCAAAACUUCUGUAGAGAUGCAAAAAGGUUCGAACUUCUACAAAAUUUGUUUUAGGCUUCCUCCUACCACCAGUAGCUUGAUUUGUCCUCUGUCGAAUACACGAAGAUCAAAUAACUUUGUAAAUAAAAAAAGAACUAAACAGACAAGGUUCUAGGACAUAGAAAAAUUGUAUUCAAAUAUGUGGAAUGUUUCAGCUGACCUUCUCCAGCCCAGAUAAAUAAAAUAAAGAAACAAAAAAUAUAUAUAAUACCUCAUUUGCUGGUUGUCUCACAUCCGAAUGCCUAAAGAAAUCUGCUUUAGGAUCCAUCGGCCACCCUAGCUUAAAACAUUUGUCCGACCUAGAAACAGCAAGCAGACCUUUCAGCUAUUUUAUAUCUGAACAGAAUCCAGCACAAAACUUUCCAUCCGCGAAACUCACCAGAAGUAUUCAUUCAGAUCAUCAUAAUUUCUCCAUCUUGAAUGACUUGCCUUGCCCAAUUUGUUUCUCUUUGCUUCCUUUAUAACCAAAGGGAAUUUCAAAUUUCCAAAUAAAUAACUGUAAUAGAAAUGGCUAGUGUUCAGUAGUAUGAAACUUUAAAUACUAUCUUUACCUUGAACAAAACCCCGUAGAUAGGAGCUAUAACAUCCCUCAGAAAAGAUUCUUCAUCAUGUGCUACUGUUUGGUAUGUUUCUCCACUAACAUGAUGAGCAUUGCUAUUUAAAAUUCCAUAGACUUCAUUUGCCAUCUUAAAAAUUAGGAAAAGAAUUUAUUAUCAGAGCAUUAUAAAUUUAAGGACAUGACUUUAAACAUUAAGGAGCAAUUUUGGGUAUCAGAACAAGCAUGGUUCUAACAGCAGCUUCUAUGACAACAUAGAAGAGAGGAGUUCCCUAGUGCGAUCUAAGUAAUGAUAACAAUACAAACAUCUAAGAAACAAACACAAGUUUAUGACAUGGAAUUAUGCAGACAUUAAUAAUGGAUGACCAAUAUGAAAACAAAACAUACAUACAUUAUGGAAAAUGUAGCACAAGCAUUCAGGCAUGAAUCGGACAUUUGAAGCUUCACCCCAUAUGAGCAGAUAGAGCGCAAUGUAUAUAAGUUCCAAUUGUUGUCUGUGAAAACCUUCAGGGAACCUGAAAAGUGUGGGAAAGAAGACAGAGAAAACGAGAUAGACAUUUCAGCGCCAAAAUUAUAAAAUUUUUAAGGCAUCAAGUUGAAAUGAUAGUAACCAGAUCACUCACCGAAGAUUUGAUUUAGAGUGCAGAUAGUUAUACCACGAGCGGUAGUUCUUAAAAAAUUUCUCCAUCAAAUGUUGUACAGUGGCACUAUUCAACUGCAAGAACCUCUCUGUUAAUCUUUUAGUGAUCACAUGACAGUACAGAUUAUGGCUACAGUUAUGAGAACUUAGUGCAUAUAAAGUUCAGAGCAAGGCAAUUUAGAUAAAGCAUCUCAAAGGAACAUAAAUUACCUCAGUGUAGUUCUCAAGACUUCUAUGUCUUACAUCAAUGUUGGCAAGUAGCAAAAUUAGAUGUUCCCUCUGAUUUGCCACAUUUCCUUUCUUCAUGUGCCAAAAUAAUAAGAUAACGUAGUAAUGUCAGAGAAUAAUACACUGUUGAAAAAUACAUCUAGAUAUAGCCUGCUGAAGCAAACAGUCCUUGAAAAUACUUAAAAACCCAUACACACACAAACAUAGCAAACACCAAGUUUCCAGUCAUGGAGCUAUGAGAUCCAUGAACAAAUUGGAAAGAGCUAUAAGAUCAAGGUUGGCUCAGUUGAUUGGGUCAAUGAAUAAAAGCAUAUAAGUAUAUAAGUAACUCGAUAAUUUAGAAACAAUAUAAAAGGAUAGCAUGAUUACAGUAAGCACAUCAUGGCAAAGGAUCAUUGACUUUGUAAUGAAAGCCUUUCUUCUAUAGUCCAAGUAUCAAUAUUGCAGUAGAAUUUCCUUUCAGAGCAUUAUUCUGUGUUUUUGUUAAAUAUAUUCAACUAUCCAGAAUAACGAGGGUCAGUACCCAUUAACAGUCAUUAGAAUGUCCACAUUCAUUACGAAUUCUAGUGUAACCUGCCUAGUAGUAGUAAUAAUCCUGAAAUCAAGACAAAUCCUUUUAGCAACUAAAUAUAGUGCUCAGAAAUCAGAACCUACAACAGUUUAGAAUACCGGUGCAAGUCUCUGAUUUGGCAUACAUAAAAAGUGAAGACAAAUGAAAUAAAGGCACUUAGAGCACAGGUUACCUGAAACCCAAAAAUAGCGGAAAGCCAAUCAAGUAUAUCAUUCACAGGUUUAAUCCUCUCUGUAGGCAUUGUCGACUUGUCAUCAGGAUUCGUGGGUUUAAAAUGCAUUCUUGGCAUUGGAAGAUUAUCCACAUUCUGUAGAGCACGGAGCGCUGCUUUGAUCUGAUAAUAUUCAGGAGAUGUCAGUGGAUAAGGCAGUAAACGCGAGAGUAAUAGUAUUUCAUGAAAUUAAAUUUGAAGAGGCAUAAAAAAGUCUCAUCUAGUGCAACAUUGACAACCUCAGGAAGUUCCAUAACUGCUGGUUUAACCCCGACAGUAUAUAACGGAAGAAUGUUAUAGUUUACAUACUGCUCCCUUUUCUCUUGACGUCUUCAGCAAUUUUCUGGCUCUGUAACAAUAAAAUCAAUAGAACAGCCAUUUUCAGCACCUUCUAAACCAACAAGACCAUUUAGAACUUGAGCAAUCCCCAAAUCAUAUAACUCAAACCUGUUUGUCUAUCUGAUUGGCAGGUACCACUGUCCUAAGCACAUCGUACAGUACAGUUGCAAUCUGACAAUUCCUGGCCAUCUCUUCCCUUCAAGGAUACAAAAAGAUAAAUCCAAGAUAUAAUGAAUAAUAAUAGAAAAUCUGCAAAAGAAAUGUAGUAGGGCCAUAUAUUCAAACACAAGACUUACGGUUUCUUUGUAUAUUCUCCAUCUUUGAUAUUUUUUUCAUAGAAUUCGUGGUAGUACAACUUGAUUUCGUUUGUAUCAGAUUUAGCAACCUGAUGUUUUGUAUCUCGUUCGUCCUGCAGCAAAAAGNNNNNNNNNNNNNNNNNNNNNNNNNNNNNNNNNNNNNNNNNNNNNNNNNNNNNNNNNNNNNNNNNNNNNNNNNNNNNNNNNNNNNNNNNNNNNNNNNNNNNNNNNNNNNNNNNNNNNNNNNNNNNNNNNNNNNNNNNNNNNNNNNNNNNNNNNNNNNNNNNNNNNNNNNNNNNNNNNNNNNNNNNNNNNNNNNNNNNNNNNNNNNNNNNNNNNNNNNNNNNNNNNNNNNNNNNNNNNNNNNNNNNNNNNNNNNNNNNNNNNNNNNNNNNNNNNNNNNNNNNNNNNNNNNNNNNNNNNNNNNNNNNNNNNNNNNNNNNNNNNNNNNNNNNNNNNNNNNNNNNNNNNNNNNNNNNNNNNNNNNNNNNNNNNNNNNNNNNNNNNNNNNNNNNNNNNNNNNNNNNNNNNNNNNNNNNNNNNNNNNNNNNNNNNNNNNNNNNNNNNNNNNNNNNNNNNNNNNNNNNNNNNNNNNNNNNNNNNNNNNNNNNNNNNNNNNNNNNNNNNNNNNNNNNNNNNNNNNNNNNNNNNNNNNNNNNNNNNNNNNNNNNNNNNNNNNNNNNNNNNNNNNNNNNNNNNNNNNNNNNNNNNNNNNNNNNNNNNNNNNNNNNNNNNNNNNNNNNNNNNNNNNNNNNNNNNNNNNNNNNNNNNNNNNNNNNNNNNNNNNNNNNNNNNNNNNNNNNNNNNNNNNNNNNNNNNNNNNNNNNNNNNNNNNNNNNNNNNNNNNNNNNNNNNNNNNNNNNNNNNNNNNNNNNNNNNNNNNNNNNNNNNNNUUGUCUAUUGUGAUAGAAAAGCCCUGGUUUCAGGAGCUCUUCACCGCAUAUAUUCAUUUUGAUUUGCACAUGGUGCAUUUUUAAUGUAGAUUUCUAGACCAUUUCCUAAGUUUAAGUUUUCAAGUUCAGUAUCCAUCUAAGACCAACAACGUUAAAUACUACAAGCUAAAGCAAAAGUAGAACAUUAGCAGAUCCAAGUAUUUUCUGCAGUGUGAACAGUAGUGAAACAUUUAACUGAUAAAGUAUAAUAGAAUAACAGUUUAAUCUUAUUUUCUUGUUUCAUUGUCUUACUGAUAUUGAGAUUCAGUCUACUAAUCAUAUGUAGUAAGACCGCAAAUCAGACCACUCUUCACAAAUAAGAAAAAGAAUAUGAGAAACCAGUAAGGACUUAAAGGUGUACCUUUUCGAGUCUGUGCAGAAGAUGAGUCUUAAACUGACGAACUCCCCGUCCACUUGAUGUUGGAUCCAUUUUAUGCGCCUUUUCAAAUCCAUGGAAGCGGCCUGUUUGAACAAAAUAUAUUAAUAUCUAGACAAUAAAUUCUUUUUCCACUGCCCAACAAGGAAGUACUUUCUGCCAGAUCCACAACAUAUAAUACAAUCUUAAGAGCAAGUUAUGCAGAAUAUGCAGAGAACACUAAGAUUCUAUCCUCAUUGAAUAAAGAAACUAAUAAACUCUUCUUAAAAUGUAAUACAGGUGUUAUGAUUACCCAUCAUAUCUGUCUUUGCUACAUUUUAGAAUCAUUUUUAACUACCAUCAAGGAAAUGCUGUCUACCAUAUUCAAAGCAUAAUACAAAUUCAUGGUACAAAAACUGAUAGUUCUAAGCUAAUUAAGCAGGAUAUUGAAGCAAAGAACAUUAAGAUUCUAUAAUUUUAGAUAUAAAUAUAUUCAUUUAGAAAUGAUCGGAAUAUAAACUAAGCUCAUUUUCUUAGUCAUACUUUCAUCUCCUAGUUAUUGUUUACAGUCCAGAAGCAGUAACAGUUCACUCACUAGCCCUCCAAAUAACUUCCUCUGUUAGUGAUUGAUAGUUGCAUCUCAAACUCUACAAAAGCAACUUUACAAGGAGGUUACAAUAGACAACCACCAAACAUUAUGAAGAGCAUCUCAAAGCAGCCACUAACAUCACGAAUAGUGUCAGGUAGACAGCGUCAAUUCGGUAGCCCACCACUCUAAAGUAAGCAAAAUAGCGGACAAGAAACACAUGAUGGGAGUUUUGGAACUUCCCUGUAAACUAUUUACACCUUAAUCUUCGGCUACAAUACGAAAUUCCUUUAGCACGAGGAGAAUCUGGAGUUACUUUGGGAUAAUACUGAGCUUUCAGCUUCUCUUUGGUCAGGCAUUCUGAAGGCAUCCUUGCUUUAACAAGAGAGCCUUGCACAUUGGAGAACUUUAUAAAUCAACAAGACAUCAAUCCUGACAACAAGUACCAGCUAUAUGGAUUCCCAAUUGCAGUCUAUCCUCAGAACAUACACAUAUCCAACUCAACUGCAAGCCUACUAGUGUCCCUAAAUUGACAGUAUCCGUCAGCCACUUCUCUUCCCCUUUGCCAGUACCUAGGACUGAUCGAGGCAAAAGAACAUCAUGUCCCCCAAAACUAUUCUUCAAAAUUCCUUAUAAUUUCCUUCAAAGGAACUCGAUUCCAAUUCCAUCAACCUAGCUACCAUUUCCCUACUCCUAUUCCUUUGCUCUAAAACUAUCAAACUAAGCAGGAACACCUUUCCUAAACAAUGAACAAAUUCCAUCAACAUAAAACUGUUUAAGCUUUUAUCGUUUGCAUAUACAUAACUCAACUAAAUAUCACUACUAUCAACUUAAAAAGUAAAAACAACAACGAAAUCGCUAACCAAUUAGACAAAACUACUUAAACUAGCAUAAGAGGGUCAAAAACGAAUUGACAUACAUAGAUAAGCAACCCUAGGGUUGUCCUUCUCAAUCUCAUUGGCAACCCUGAAAAUGGGAGCAAUAGAAGCAAGGCAGGAGGGCACAACUCCACUGUCCAGAGCAUCGUCGCCCUCCGUCGGAAAGUCCACAACUCUAGUAGACAUUCUCGUCAUCCCCCUCGACAGCGACCUCUGCGGCCCCGACGAGUCCACCGCCUUGGUCCCGCUCGAGCUCGCCAUUUCCUUCAAUACUAGUCUCCUCACUGAUUCUGAUGAAAAUGAGAGGUGUCAUUUUUUUGGGAGGGUUUUAUGUAGAGAAGGGUGUGGAGAUACUUUGGGAGAAGAGUGGGGCAAAGUGGGUUUUGCUCUCAAAGCAAGAAAGGAAUUGGAAGUGUUUUUGUUUUGUUUUGUUUUGGAGGAGCUUUUGUGAGUGCUUUUGCUUUAUAUUUCUUAAGAGCGGAGAGGUUCGAGGGAUAAACAAAUCUGCCAUCGCCAUUGCUUUUUCUCUCUUUCUGUCUAUCUGGGUCUUUUUCGCUUCUUUCUUUGUUUUAAAAAUGGUGGAGGAGUUUGCUUCGCCCUGGAAGUUUUACAGGGCGGGAACUGUGCAUGGGAGAAAGAGAGCGGCGGGCCACCACCAACACUCUUAUUGGAAAACGUACGAACACAUAUUUCAUUGCGAUUAAACCCCCAAAGUUUACCAAAUUGCUCAAAAAGCACUCAAAUCUUCAAGAAUUACAAUAGAUUUGGGGCCUCGAUCGUUAAAAUUUUCAAAACUAUUAUCAGUAAUCAUGAAAUGUGUACAUUUUACUUGGAAUGGAUUUAUUUCGUAAACUUUGUAAAGAAUUUCUCGUUUUACCUCUCUUUGAUAGCUUCUGAUUAGGCUCUUAACAAUAGAAACUCAUGUCUAGCUCAUCUUAUUUGAGAAAGAUGAUAAGUUCAAAAAGGCACUCAUUCACGCUGAUGAAUAAUUCUUAUGUGCAAGAUGAAUUAUAUGAAAUAAAUUGAAAUUUGGAAUUGUCUUUAUCUCCUAAAGAGACCAAAGGUUUCUAGGUUAUACCUUUAACAUGUGGAUACAGGAUACCCUUAACAUUUAAAUGUUUCUAGCAGAAUCAAGCUUGUAUCUCCAAAUGGGUUUCACAACAAAAGCAAUAUUACAUUACAAAAUAAACUAAAGUAGUAUCUAGAACUAGGUCCCCAUAACUAAUAAAGAGUACUCCAUGAUUACAAGUAUUACAAAUUUUAUGAGAUCUUUUUGGAUCGAAAAAAAAAUACAAUGAAUUCUUUUUCUCGUUUUCUUUUUCCAAUUUAGGAUGACAGGUAACAAAUUAUAAAGAUCUCUGGUAAGGAUCACAUGUUUGUCAGUGAUUUAGGGAUUAUAUAGCUCAUAACAAGUACUGACCAAUGGCCAACGAAUAAUUGGAAAUGUCUAAUGGUCAACAAGUAAUGAGUAACAAGUAACGGCGUUGUCAACGGGUAACGAUUUUUUAUGUUUAAGAUUUCAAGCCAGAUACUAAUAAUUAAUAAUUAAAGAUAGUCACGACUCACAAGUAAUAGAAAAUAGAUUAUGAUUAACUUUAAAGAUUUCAAGAUGUGAGGGGCGUAGUGGCAGGUGCUAAAACACUAGUUUUUUUAUUUUUUUUAAUGACCUAAGAGGCAAGUAGUUGAUAAAGCAUUACAACACUACAAGAAUUGGGGAAAAUGUGAAAUGCAAACCUGUGCUCAAACCAGGUGUUGUUUGGAGUAUCGGGGAUGGUAGACAUGUCAACAUUUGGCGAGACAAAUGGAUUCCUGAGUGUUCACUGAUCACAAUAUUUGAUUCAAAAACCACCAAACUGUGUUUGAGCUAGUGUCGGAUGUCAUUGACACUAACUAACGACCUGAGGUUGCUCAAAGGUCCUGUGUCUUCCUUUAAGUGAACGAAACUUGGAGGACAAGCUUUGUUGAAGCCCUGAAAAGCGUGGUUUUUACUCAGGUUAAAACGGCAUUUGAAGAAAGAGAAGUGUGCUAAAUUGAUAAUGGUGAUAUGGUCCUCGUGGAAGAACAUGAACAAUAUGCUAUGGAAUAAUACGAAUCAAAACUCCUCAUGAUUUGAUGCUGGGAGCUUUAGCUUGGUUCGUUUCAACAAGGCAAGAACUGUGUCAAAGCAAACUCAGAUCGACAACCAAGCAAUGCUCGAGCCUACAACACUAGGGAGAUGUAAACUAAACGUCGACGGCAGUUUUUUACCUUCAAUUAGUCAUGGUUGAACCGUAGAACCGGGGGUCGUACUAAGAGAUGAAAAGGGGAAUUUCAAAGCAGUUUUUGCUAUCCCUAUAUCUUCAGCGGCUUCAGCGGAACAGGUGGCAUUAUGUGCCAGGUUUAAAGCUGCUUGAAACAAUGAAGAUUAUCAAUGUGGUAAUGGACUAUAUGGAAGCCAGCACAAACAUCUCAGAUGUGCAAAGUAUGCAUCUUGGAUUGGAGGGCCUUCUGCAAGAUAUUAGAGCUGCAAUCUCUCUAUACCAGGUAUGACUGCAACAUGCAAGUAGAGACUGUAACAGGGGUAGCACAUUGGCUUGCAAACACUGCAUAUGAGGAUACCAAUAGAUCAGUUUGGCUAGACAACCCACCUAUAUGUAUUCUUGAAAUUCUAAAGCAUGAUGUACCUAACCUGGGUGGCUAAUAUGCGCCCAGUGUUUCAAUAUAGUAACACCAUUCGGGGAAUUAAAAAACAUUUGGGAAUAAUAUAUCAUAAACCAUAGUGACAGAUGCAUAUUCAAAUUUCAAAAGAGAUGCUUAACACUGCAACAAAAAGCUCUGCAUUCUUUUAUUACUUCAGGAUAUAUGUACCAAUAAUAUACACUCAUCACGAACAUCCAUAUGAGAAUCAUCUACAUGUAAACUGGGUGUAUAUAAUACGACUCACAGGAUGAUUAACUUUUGCAGUGAUGGAAAGCAUUCAUUGCAGAAUGUGCCUCUAGCAGUCCUGCGAUACAACUCUGUACAUGAACCAAAGGCAAAAGUCGGUAGGAUCCACGUCUGCAGUAAAAAUGGUAGUACAGGAUGACAGGUGAGCCUCCAUGUUCAUUUGAACUUCGUCUGCAGUGCAUUAGUCUAGAAACAUUUGCAUUUGUGCAUCAGCAUUCUCAAAAUCUCUUCUUCAGAGACAAGAUAACAUUGAGAGCUACAUGAGUUUUCCUUAUACGGGACUUGGUCGCGACGCCUGCAUUGUACAAAAAAGUCAAAUUAAUGUCUGAAUGUCUUCCCUUCUUAAAUGAUAGAAUCCCGUAAUUUAAUGAAAAAGUUUCAAGGCUUUGUAGGAGAGAAAAAACAAGAUUAAAUGUCAGCACAAUGGAAUAGAAUAAGAACAAGACCUGAUUAUUUGAACUUGUUACAGUAGCCCAUUGACGAGGAUGCUGUGGCCCCACUCCAGCGUGGCUGAUGAAUGCAAUUGUUGUUGAUUGUUCCCGUCGGCGAUUAGUGAUUGGGGGUGGCAAUUCUCUCAUGAACCACAAUACAAAAGCUGAGGGUACCCAAGAGCCUGAAGAUAGAAGGGAAGAUAAUACUUGAUGACAAACUUUUUUUUUUGGUCAAAAAUACUUGAUGACAAACUUGAAAAGCAAAAUUGCAAGCAGCUGAAAAUGGAAGAUAGUAUUACCUAUAAAAUAGUACAGCAUCAGGAAAAUUAGCGCUUUCCCGCCAUAUGCUUUUUUCAGACUCCAAGGAUCAUAUAGCUGGCAAAGAGUUAAAGUGAGGUAAACAAGAAGUAAAUGGUAAACGAUGAAAGAAGUGGCACAAAGCAGUAAGUAAGAUCGUUCCCAAUGAACAACUUACAGGUUUAUCAGUAAGAAGAGCUACUAAUGCACUUGAUGUAAAGCAUACAACAGAAGCAACUGCUAAACCGCCAACCUGCAUGUUGUACAAACAACAAAACUUACUAAAUAGAAGCAGAACUGUGCCAAUUCAAGUGCAUAAAUACUUACAGCAUACAACAGUGUAAGCAAUUGCAUCAUCACAUGUGCACGCGUAGGAAUUUCUAUUCAAAGAAGAGCACAAUGCAUUUUG
rnacentral:lncRNA from 1 species